GUGAUUGCUGGAAAUGGAACCCAGGUCCUCUUCAAGAGCAGCCAGAGCUCUUAACCACUGAGCCUUUUCUCCAGUCCCACCCCCAACUCCUUUUGGAGGCGGGGUCUCUCAUUGUCCUGGAAUUCACCAAGGAGGCUAGGCUUGCUGGCCAGUGAGCCCCUGGAAUUAUGCCUGUCUCUGCUUCUCAGGGCUGGGAUUUCAAGCCCCGACAACCACAUCUGGCUUUUCACAAGGGUUUCUGGGAAUUGACUGAGACAAGAACUAUAUUUCAUAUUCUGAGUAAGAGCCUGGUGAAGAAAGGUAUUCAACUGGCAUUUCCAAGGACAGGGUCUCAUGUGGCUCAGAAUGACCUUCAAGUGUCUUAAAGGUAAGAAGACUGUGAACUUCCCAUUCUACUGCCUCAGCCUCCUAAGUGCUGGAAUUACAGAACUGUAUUACGGUGCUCCUUCUCUUCACACAGCGAUAUUCUCAGGGGAAUUGAGCAGAAACCCCACAAGAGCUACGUUAAUCUCUUCUGAAUUUAGUGUCCCAGGGUCUCGUGUAUCCCAGGCUGGUCCUGAACUCAUGUAGUGGAAGAUGGCCGUGAACUCCUGAUCAUCUUGUCCCUGUCUCCUAAGCACUAGGCUGAUAGACUGACUUCUACAACACC
rnacentral:lncRNA from 1 species